CCUACGGGGGGCAGCAGUGAGGAAUAUUGGUCAAUGGGCGAGAGCCUGAACCAGCCAAGUCGCGUGAGGGAGUACUGCCCUAUGGGUUGUAAACCUCUUUUGUCGGGGAGCAAAAGCCGGACGUGUCCGGCUGUGAGAGUACCCGAAGAAAAAGCAUCGGCUAACUCCGUGCCAGCAGCCGCGGUAAUACGGAGGAUGCGAGCGUUAUCCGGAUUUAUUGGGUUUAAAGGGUGCGCAGGCGGAUUUUUAAGUCAGCGGUCAAAUCGUGGGGCUCAACCCCAUCCAGCCGUUGAAACUGGGGAUCUAGAGUGUGCGAGAGGUAUGCGGAAUGCGCAGUGUAGCGGUGAAAUGCUUAGAUAUUGCGCAGAACUCCGAUUGCGAAGGCAGCAUACCGGCGGCGAUCUGACGCUGAGGCACGAAAGCGUGGGUAUCGAACAGGAUUAGAUACCCGGGUAGUC
rnacentral:rRNA from 1 species